UAUGAAGGCCAGGCUGAAGACUUUGCCGGAUUAGCUGAGAGGUGGUGCAUGGCCGUCGUCAGUUCGUACUGUGAAGCAUCCUGUUAAGUCAGGCAACGAGCGAGACCCACGCCCACAGUUGCCAGCGUACUCUCCGGAGUGACGGGUACACUGUGGGGACCGCCGCUGCUAAAGCGGAGGAAGGAAUGGGCAACGGUAGGUCAGUAUGCCCCGAAUAUCCCGGGCUACACGCGAGCUACAAUGGUUGGUACAAUGGGUAUCUACCCCGAAAGGGGAUGGAAAUCUCCUAAAGCCAAUCUUAGUCCGGAUUGAGGGCUGCAACUCGCCCUCAUGAAGCUGGAAUCCGUAGUAAUCGCGUUUCAACAGAACGCGGUGAAUACGUCCCUGCUCCUU
rnacentral:rRNA from 1 species